AUUGAACGCUGGCGGCAUGCCUUACACAUGCAAGUCGAACGGCAGCACGGGAGCAAUCCUGGUGGCGAGUGGCGAACGGGUGAGUAAAGUAUCGGAACGUGCCCAGUCGUGGGGGAUAACGUAGCGAAAGUUACGCUAAUACCGCAUACGAUCUAUGGGUGAAAGCGGGGGAUCGCAAGACCUCGCGCGAUUGGAGCGGCCGAUAUCAGAUUAGGUAGUUGGUGGGGUAAAGGCUCACCAAGCCGACGAUCUGUAGCUGGUCUGAGAGGACGACCGGCCACACUGGGAAUUAGACACGGCCCAGACUCCUACGGGAGGCAGCAGUGGGGAAUUUGGGACAAUGGGCGAAAGCCUGAUCCAGCCAUGCCGCGUGCAGGAUGAAGGCCUUCGGGUUGUAAACUGCUUUUGUACGGAACGAAAAGGUUUGGCCUAAUAAGCUGAGCUCAUGACGGUACCGUAAGAAUAAGCACCGGCUAACUACGUGCCAGCCGCCGCUGUAA
rnacentral:rRNA from 1 species